rnacentral:rRNA from 1 species
ACGGAAGGCAGCAGUGGGGAAUAUUGCACAAUGGGGGAAACCCUGAUGCAGCGACGCCGCGUGAAGGAUGAAGUAUUUCGGUAUGUAAACUUCUAUCAGCAGGGAAGAAAAUGACGGUACCUGACUAAGAAGCCCCGGCUAACUACGUGCCAGCAGCCGCGGUAAUACGUAGGGGGCAAGCGUUAUCCGGAUUUACUGGGUGUAAAGGGAGCGUAGACGGCUGUGCAAGUUUGAAGUGAAAGCCCGGGGCUCAACCGCGGGACUGCUUUGAAAACUGUGCAGCUAGAGUGUCGGAGAGGUAAGUGGAAUUCCUAGUGUAGCGGUGAAAUGCGUAGAUAUUAGGAGGAACACCAGUGGCGAAGGCGGCUUACUGGACGAUAACUGACGUUGAGGCUCGAAAGCGUGGGGAGCAAACAGGAUUAGAUACCCUGGUA